rnacentral:misc_RNA from 1 species
GAUGAAGAACGUAGCGAAAUGCGAUAAGUAAUGUGAAUUGCAGAAUUCCGUGAAUCAUCGAAUCUUUGAACGCAUAUUGCGCCCUCUGGUAUUCCGGAGGGCAUGCCUGUCCGAGCGUCAUUACAACCCUCAAGCUCAGCUUGGUGUUGGGCCCCGCCGCCCCGGCGGGCCCUAAAGUCAGUGGCGGUGCCGUCCGGCUCCGAGCGUAGUAAUUCUUCUCGCUCUGGAGGUCCGGUCGUGUGCUCGCCAGCAACCCCCAAUUUUUUUCAGGUUGACCUCGGAUCAGGUAGGGAUACCCGCUGAACUUAAGCAUAUCAAUAAGCGGAGGA